rnacentral:rRNA from 1 species
UGGAUCCAGACUUUGAUCCUGGCUCAGGAUGAACGCUAGCUACAGGCUUAACACAUGCAAGUCGAGGGGAAACGAUAUUGGAAGCUUGCUUCCGAUAGGCGUCGACCGGCGCACGGGUGAGUAACGCGUAUCCAACCUGCCCACCACUUGGGAAUAACCUUGCGAAAGUAAGACUAAUACCCAAUGAUAUCUCAAGAAGACAUCUGAAUGAGAUUAAAGAUUUAUCGGUGAUGGAUGGGGAUGCGUCUGAUUAGCUUGUUGGCGGGGUAACGGCCCACCAAGGCGACGAUCAGUAGGGGUUCUGAGAGGAAGGUCCCCCACAUUGGAACUGAAACACGGUCCAAACUCCUACGGGAGGCAGCAGUGAGGAAUAUUGGUCAAUGGGCGAGAGCCUGAACCAGCCAAGUAGCGUGCAGGAUGACGGCCCUAUGGGUUGUAAACUGCUUUUAUAAGGGAAUAAAGUGAGCCUCGUGAGGCUUUUUGCAUGUACCUUAUGAAUAAGGACCGGCUAAUUCCGUGCCAGCAGCCGCGGUAAUACGGAAGGUCCGGGCGUUAUCCGGAUUUAUUGGGUUUAAAGGGAGCGUAGGCCGGAGAUUAAGCGUGUUGUGAAAUGUAGAUGCUCAACAUCUGCACUGCAGCGCGAACUGGUUUCCUUGAGUACGCACAAAGUGGGCGGAAUUCGUGGUGUAGCGGUGAAAUGCUUAGAUAUCACGAAGAACUCCGAUUGCGAAGGCAGCUCACUGGAGCGCAACUGACGCUGAAGCUCGAAAGUGCGGGUAUCGAACAGGAUUAGAUACCCUGGUAGUCCGCACGGUAAACGAUGGAUGCCCGCUGUUGGUCUGAAUAGGUCAGCGGUCAAGCGAAAGCAUUAAGCAUCCCACCUGGGGAGUACGCCGGCAACGGUGCAACUCAAAGGAAUUGACGGA